rnacentral:rRNA from 1 species
GGGUCAGUAGGUUGGUCGUGCCACCGGUACGUACUGGUCUCACUGAUUCCUCCUUCCUGAAGAACCGUAAUGCCAUUAAUUUGGUGUUGCGGGGUAACAGGACUGUUACUUUGAAAAAAUUAGAGUGUUUAAAGCAAGCUAACGCUUGAAUACAUUAGCAUGGAAUAAUGUAAUAGGACGAUCGAUCCUAUUUUGUUGGUUUCUAGGAUUGACGUA